rnacentral:misc_RNA from 1 species
UCACUGACUUGCUAACAUUAACUCACCACCUGAUUGAGUUGAAUUAUUAUUACUAACCACCGAGUUUCCAGGCCGAGGUGGCAAUAAGUGGCCUAGUAUGCCACCCGAGCAACAGACACCCAUUAUUUUCCUCCACUCGAUACCCAUCACCGCCUGCAAAUAGUGCUAGUAACAUACUCGCUUGUUUAAACGCGUUUGAACCCAUGUGAACCGGGUCAAACCCUGCCGAUUCCAUCCGUGUCCGCCAAUGACUCAAUGUCUCAUGCCGCUCAACUCGGUCGGCACCAUCACAGGCCACCACGUUGCAUAUCUGCCUCCCUAAGUAUAACUCGGACAUGAUAAUGUCCUGACUCGGCACAGCCAACCCGGAUCCUUCCAACGAGUCAAACAAGCUGGAAUAAUAAUGCAAAGCUUCAGUGAACCGGUCUACAAAAACAGGGCCAUUGUGGUUAGCUUCUUGCUCAACAAUGGUCACAAUCUUGGGCUUCAUGGCCUUGAUGGAGGAAAGCACCCUAUCGAUCCCACCGGGUCGAGCCAGGAGGCGGUGAAGCUCAAAGACGGAAUUGACGGCGACUGUCUCCACUUCCGGGGGGCGGAGGUCGAGCAUUUCCGGCUGGAGAUCCGCCAAACUGUUGGCUACAAAGCCGCGGAAUUCGAAUUCAACGCCAAUAGUUUCAGCCAACUGCGCUAGCUUCCAACCCACUUGCUGCAAAGCAGCGGUGUUGUUAGGCUGCGGUGGGCCAAUUCCGGUUAAACGGAAAGCCGGCGGCCCACCUGGGCGUAAAGCAAGCGCUUGCAUUAGUGCCGGCCACUGCAUCCCCUGCUUCAGACCGAAAUCGAUCACAUGAACUCUACU